GGCCUGGUAGCACAGUGGUAGUGCAACUGCUUUCAUUGUCGUACGCAUGUUGCAAUGGAAAUUUACUGCAGACGACGCCGGUUUGAAUCCGGCCUGGGCCU